rnacentral:snRNA from 1 species
GUUCUUGCUUAGCAGCACAUCUACUAAAAUUGGAACAAUACAAAGAUAAGUAUAGGUGUGCAAAAGAGGGCAUGCAAAUUGUGAAGAAUCCCCUAUUUUU